rnacentral:rRNA from 1 species
AUUGAACGCUGGCGGCAGGCCUAACACAUGCAAGUCGAACGAGUGGCGGACGGGUACGUAAUGUCUGGGAAACUGCCCGCUGGCGGGGGAUGACUACUGGAAACGGUAGCUGAUACCGCAUACCAUCGGAUGUGCCCAGAUGGGUGUAGCUAGUAGGUGGGGUAACGGCUAACCUAGGAGACGAUCCCUAGCUGGACUUAGAGGAUGACCAGCCACACUGGAACUGAGACAAGGACAAGACUCCUACGGGAGGAAGCAGUGGGGAAGAUUGGACAAGGGGCGCAAGCCGGAUGCAGCCAUGCCGCGGGUAUGAAGAAGGCCUUGGGGUGGUAAAGUACUUUCAGCGAGGAGGCGUUACUCGCAGAAGAAGCACCGGCUAACUCCGUGCCAGCAGCCGCGGUAAUUC